UUGGCCAUAUCAUAAUGAAACACCAGUUCUCAAUAUGAUCACUGAAGUUAAGCAACAUUGAACCUGGUCAAUACCAAGAUGAGUGACUGCUUGGGAAUACCAGGGGCUGUAAG